rnacentral:rRNA from 1 species
ACAAGCGGUGGAGCAUGUGGUUAAUUCGACGCAACGCGAAGAACCUUACCUGGGUUUGACAUCCCGAUCGUACUCCAUGGAACAUGGGGGUCAGUUCGGCUGGAUCGGUGACAGGUGCUGCAUGGCUGUCGUCAGCUCGUGUCGUGAGAUGUUGGGUUAAGUCCCGCAACGAGCGCAACCCUUGUCCUUAGUUGCCACCAUUCAGUUGGGCACUCUAAGGAGACUGCCGGUGUUAAACCGGAGGAAGGUGGGGAUGACGUCAAAUCAUCAUGCCCCUUAUGACCUGGGCUACACACGUGCUACAAUGGUUGGUACAACGAGUUGCGAGUCGGUGACGGCGAGCUAAUCUCUUAAAGCCAAUCUCAGUUCGGAUUGUAGGCUGCAACUCGCCUACAUGAAGUCGGAAUCGCUAGUAAUCGCGGAUCAGCACGCCGCGGUGAAUACGUUCCCGGGCCUU